AGCAGCCGCGGUAAUUCCAGCUCCAAUAGCGUAUAUUAAAGUUGUUGCAGUUAAAAAGCUCGUAGUUGAAUUUCGGGGUUAGUAGGUCGGUCAUGCCACUGGUAUGUACUGGUCUCACUGAUUCCUCCUUCCUGAUGAACCGUAAUGCCAUUAAUUUGGUGUUGCGGGGAAACUGGACUGUUACUUUGAAAAAAUUAGAGUGUUUAAAGCAGGCUAACGCUUGAAUACAUUAGCAUGGAAUAAUGAAAUAGGACGUUCGAUCCUAUUUUGUUGGUUUCUAGGAUUUGACGUAAUGAUUAAUAGGGAUAGUUGGGGGCAUUAGUAUUCAAUUGUCAGAGGUGAAAUUCUUGGAUUUAUUGAAGACUAACUACUGCGAAAGCAUUUGCCAAGGAUGUUUUCAUUAAUCAAGAACGAAAGUUAGGGAUCGAAGACGAUCAGAUACCGUCGUAGUCUUAACCAUAAACUAUGCCGACUAGGGAUCGGAUGAUGUUAAUUUUUUAUGUACUUCAUUCGGCGUCCG
rnacentral:rRNA from 1 species